rnacentral:rRNA from 1 species
GAUGAACGCUGGCGGCGUGCUUAACACAUGCAAGUCGAACGGAAGGGCUCCUGCUUGCAGGGGUACUCGAGUGGCGAACGGGUGAGUAACACGUGGGUGAUCUGCCCUGCACUUCGGGAUAAGCCUGGGAAACUGGGUCUAAUACCGGAUAGGACGAUGGUUUGGAUGCCAUUGUGGAAAGUUUUUCGGUGUGGGAUGAGCUCGCGGCCUAUCAGCUUGUUGGUGGGGUAAUGGCCUACCAAGGCGUCGACGGGUAGCCGGCCUGAGAGGGUGUACGGCCACAUUGGGACUGAGAUACGGCCCAGACUCCUACGGGAGGCAGCAGUGGGGAAUAUUGCACAAUGGGCGCAAGCCUGAUGCAGCGACGCCGCGUGGGGGAUGACGGCCUUCGGGUUGUAAACUCCUUUCGCUAGGGACGAAGCGCAAGUGACGGUACCUGGAGAAGAAGCACCGGCUAACUACGUG